rnacentral:rRNA from 1 species
GACGAACGCUGGCGGCGUGCCUAACACAUGCAAGUCGAGCGGAGACUGAUGAAGGAAGUUUUCGGAUGGAAUUCAUUAGUUUUAGCGGCGGACGGGUGAGUAACGCGUGAGCAACCUGGCUCUUACAGGGGGAUAACACAUCGAAAGGUGUACUAAUACCGCAUAAGACCACGCUACUGACAUGGUAGAGGGGUCAAAGGAGCAAUCCGGUAAGAGAUGGGCUCGCGUCUGAUUAGAUAGUUGGUGAGGUAACGGCCCACCAAGUCAACGAUCAGUAGCCGACCUGAGAGGGUGAUCGGCCACAUUGGAACUGAGAAACGGUCCAAACUCCUACGGGAGGCAGCAGUGGGGAAUAUUGGGCAAUGGGCGAAAGCCUGACCCAGCAACGCCGCGUGAAGGAAGAAGGUUUUCGGAUCGUAAACUUCUAUCCUUGGUGAAGAUAAUGACGGUAGCCAAGAAGGAAGCCCCGGCUAACUACGUG